rnacentral:lncRNA from 1 species
CAACCAUAACUUUAAUUAGCAUAUCGUAUUGAUUGUAACAUACAUAUAGUUCAUGUGUUCUAAGCAUAAUCACAAGACAUCAUACAUCUGGUUCACGUCAGGUGCACCAAACCAUUUUUAUUCCAUUAACUAAUUGUCACAUACAUAGAGUUCAAUUUGUUCUAACCAGCAAGACAAGAUACCAUACAUUAGGUUUACAUAAGGACAGCAAAAAGACACAACUAUGAGACAUCAGUUGUACAAAAUGAAAGCUAAAACAUCCAGUUGACGUGGAUCGCCGGCUUCAUGGUUCAUUUCCUUAUGUUUGCUUCCUACAGAAGAUAAAGAAGUCUCAAUUAUUAGAAUGUUCAAUUAAUUUAUGAAAUUGAAUACAGGCAGAAGUCAUAUCUGCACUGUGCACACACAUGAGCACAAAAUGAGGAAUACACUUAUCUAAUCUAUAAAAGUAGCGGAACAUGAAGACCACCAAUCGACUCCCAGCAGUGGCCAUGGAUGUGGCAUAGAAGCCCUCUGUACGACUGCUGGGCAUUUAGUGUUCCUAGGGACAUACUUAAGUUACUCUGCAUAGGUACCGGCAGCCAAUAUUCCAACACUUGUUUCCAAAAAAAUGUCCGUAGGGAAUACAGUGUCAUAGGUAUAAGAGAAAUAAAAAUGAGUUGUGUGAAUGACCAAUAUUUGCUUUACUAUUCAGUCCAUACAAGGAAAAAUAUAUCGGAAAUAUAGAAUUAGUAUCUCAAAUAUAGAACCAACUUACACAGUUCUUUUGCAAUUUAUAAAGGCAUAACCAGACUCUGCAUGAUAACUAAAUAUAUGUACACUGCUUAUUAAUCUGUACAUACAGAUUAUAAAUACUAGGUUUUUCCUGAUACUUACUGAUUAAUAGCUCAUGGGUGGGCGCCUUCUUCAUGGCUGGGUAGAAUGGAAAAAUUACGCGUGCUGCCAUAUUAAAAUAUAGUUAGUCAAGAUCUUUUUUUAUAUGGAUAGUUAGUCAAGAUCUUGAUAAAUAUACAAUGUACUAUAUUGGCCUAGAAACAGGAUUCAGAAAUAGCAACUUUAAAAGCAACUAGCGAUGUAGUAUGCUCUGUUCUGUACUAUGGAUGUGCUAAUUGGAGUGUUCUGUAAUGCCAAAUUAACUAUUACUAUUAAGCAAUAAUCAGCUAGCAGUGUAAACAAGAUAUAGUGUUCUGUAAUGCCAAAUUAACUAUUACUAUUAAUGCCAAAUUUAACUAUUAUUAAGAGCAAGUAGCAGUGUUCUGUACUAAUUGCAGAAAGUAGGCUCUGUACCCGUAUACCAUAAAUCAUAUUUUAGUCUUCAAUAAAACACAGGGAAACCAAUUAAAUGAAUCUGAACAUUGUUAAAAAAUUGACAACGGCUCUGUUUCACUUCUCUUUCAAUUGAGCAAAUAGUUCUUUUGAUGGAGAGAACAAAUCAAUGCUGACCAAGAACUAAAAGUGUAAAACAAUGAUAAACUUAUGUACCAAUUCGAUGGUCAAGCUAUUGUAAAUUCAAGUGUCGCAAAUACUACAUGGUAAGUCCACACACUUGCUGGUAUCGGAAAGUCCAUUUCUACAGCACACGACACACUGAUAAUGGUAACCUCCUGGCAAACCUUUCAGGUAGAUAGGCAAAUGCUAACACAUCAUGUGUCUAUUGAACCCUGCAAACUUCAGGGUGUCAAUGGUUUGAAGUAAAAGUAACAAGUGCAUCUAUAAUAUUCAGUUGGUUUGGUACACACUUAAAACUUCAGAAAAUCAUAUUAUCCGAAAUGAUGCAAAAUGAUAUCACGACUGAUGCAAAAUGACCAGCCAACUCUUUGACAUUCAAUUUGUAACCUAUCUUAUUAUCCGAAAUGGACCGCAAUAUAGUAGUAUGAAUGUACUUCAGUCUGAUGGUGUGGUUCUUCUAUUCAUAUAAGAAAAGUACAAUCGUACUUGUGCUUUCAUAUGCUAAUCACAAAUGACUUAAGGAUGAUUGAUAGACAAGCAACUAGAAAAGUCCUAUGUACAUCUUACCUGGCUACUACGCCAUUGUGCAUAAAUAGAAGCAGCUUCUUGAAGAAUCCUCAGUUCUUCCUCUCUCGUUCCAGAUUCAUGUACAGCAAUUCAGUUGCACCCUCACAUGUUAACAUGUGGGUAGGUUUGAUUACAGAGUUCUCUAUUGAAUAUUUCUGCAAUGCCGUCGCACAGAAAUGGAUGUAUUCAUUACACUUAUUAUAAAGAAAAAUAUAGUAUCUCCCAAAGAAAAUAAUAAUGGAUGCACAUACAUCAAUCAUGUAUUCAUUACACUUAAUAUAACAACAUUAAUCAUGUAUACUGCUGAAAUAAUAAAAUAGGUACCUAUUUUAUUACCAAUCCUCAAACUUAACAAAGCAUGCAGACUCACUUAUAAAUCAAGGAGUUGGCCAUCUUUAGUGGCUAAUGUCUAUGAUGCAAAAUUUAUUUCAGCUAGAUACCGACCACAAAGACAAAACAAUAAUCAAAUCUAGGUUUCAUCACUUGCAUGCUCAAAAAAUAAGAUUUGGCAUAUCAUUCAUGACGAUAUGGCCAGAUAAGGAAAAACAAGCAACCUGGCAUAACCUCAAUUACACACCAAAAGUGAGAAUAAGAAAAAAGAAUGCAACAAAAACCAGUCAAAUAGUAUGACAAAACUCAAGAUGUGUCAAAAAUACUCACCUAUCCAAAACCAGUCAG